GGGAAUGUGGCUCAGUGGUAGAGUAUCUUGCUUGCCAUGCAGAAGGUCCCAGGUUCAAUCCCCGGUAUCUCCA